AAAUCCGCUUUGAUAAUGCUGGGAUGUGAUGGGGAGCGAAAUUUAGUAGCGAAGUAGCUGAUUUCACACUGUCAAGAAAAGUCUCGAUCGAGGUUAAAGGUACCCGUACCGCAAACCGACACAGGUGGGUGAGGAGAGUAUCCUAAGGCCAGCGAGAGAACUGUUGUUAAGGAACUCGGCAAAAUGACCCCGUAACUUAGGGAUAAGGGGUGCCACCA
rnacentral:rRNA from 1 species